CUUGACAGCCAUAUCACCCUGGACGCGCCUGGUCUCCUCCAAUAUCAGAAGCUAAGCAGAGACAGGCCUGGUACAUAUUUGGGAGAAAUAUCUUUAAAACCAAAUUUCCUUUUACAU
rnacentral:rRNA from 1 species